rnacentral:rRNA from 1 species
UACGUAGGUGGCAAGCGUUGUCCGGAUUUACUGGGCGUAAAGGGCGUGCAGGCGGUUUGUUAAGUGCAGGGUGAAAGCCCCCGGCUCAACUGGGGAGGGUCAUUCGAAACUGGUCGACUCGAAGGCAGGAGAGGGUAGUGGAAUUCCCGGUGUAGUGGUGAAAUGCGUAGAUAUCGGGAGGAACACCAGUGGCGAAGGCGGCAACCUGGACAGAUAUUGACGCUGAUGUGCGAAAGCGUGGGGAGCAAACAGG